AUUAACGCUGGCGGUAGGCUUACACAUGCAAGUCGAGCGCGAAAGCCCCUUCGGGGGCAAGUAGAGCGGCGGACGGGUGAGUAACGCGUAGGAAUCUGCCUGAUAGUGGGGGAUAACUCGGGGAAACUCGAGCUAAUACCGCAUACGCCCCAUGGGGGAAAGUGGGGGACCUUCGGGCCUCGCGCUAUCAGAUGAGCCUGCGUCGGAUUAGCUUGUUGGUAGGGUAAUGGCCUACCAAGGCGACGAUCCGUAGCUGGUCUGAGAGGAUGAUCGGCCACACUGGGACUGAGACACGGCCCAGACUCCUACGGGAGGCAGCAGUGGGGAAUAUUGGACAAUGGGGGAAACCCUGAUCCAGCCAUACCGCGUGUGUGAAGAAGGCCUUCGGGUUGUAAAGCACUUUCAGUAGGGAGGAAAAGGUUCCGGCUAAUAUCCGGAAUCCCUGACGUUACCUACAGAAGAAGCACCGGCAAACUCCGUGCCAGCAGCCGCGGUAAUACGGAGGGUGCAUCGCGUUAAUCGGAAUUACUGGGCGUAAAGCGCGCGUAGGCGGCUUGGCAAGCUGGAUGUGAAAGCCCUGGGCUCAACCUGGGGAACUGCACCCAGAACUGCUUGGCUAGAGUAUGGUAGAGGGUAGUGGAAUUUCCGGUGUAGCGGUGAAAUGCGUAAAUAUCGGAAGGAACACCAGUGGCGAAGGCGGCUACCUGGACCAAUACUGACGCUGAGGUGCGAAAGCGUGGGGAGCAACAGGAUUAAAUACCCUGGUUAGUCAUGCCGUAA
rnacentral:rRNA from 1 species